rnacentral:rRNA from 1 species
UACGGAGGGUGCGAGCGUUGUCCGGAAUCACUGGGCGUAAAGGGCGCGUAGGCGGCAUGCCAAGCGUGUGGUGAAAGCCCGGGGCUCAACCCCGGGUCGGCCGUGCGGACUGGCGUGCUCGAGCACUGUAGGGGCGGGUGGAAUUCCGGGUGGUAGCGGUGGAAUGCGUAGGAGUAUCAGGAGGAACACCAAUAGCGAAGGCAGCUCGCUGGGACGGUAGUGACGCUAAGGCGCGAAAGCGUGGGGAGCAAACAGGGAUUAAGAAACCCUGGGGUACAGUCCGAGACCAAACGUCGUCUCGCUA